rnacentral:lncRNA from 10 species
AUUCUGAAGACUGACUGAGCGUGGAAGUUGCUCAACAAAAAAAGGAACGGGUAUAUUGAGUCUUGCUCUAUUGCCCAGGCUGCAACUGGUGUGAUCUCGGCUCACUACAACCUCUGCCUCCUGGGUUCAAGCGAUUCUCCUGCCUCAAGCUCCCAAGUAGCUGGGAUUACAAGCAUGCACCACCAUGCCUGGCUAAUUUUUGUAUUUUUAGUGGAGACGGGGUUUCGCCACAUUGGCCAGGGUGGUCUUGAACUCCUGACCUCAAGUGAUCCACCUGCCUUGGCCUCCCAAAGUGCUGGGAUUAUAAGCAUGAGCCACUGCACCCAGCCUUAUACUGAACUUUCAAUGGGUUCAAUUCCACUAGGAGCAUAAAGGCCACUGCAUAUGAGUUGUGGAAAGAAGAGAUUAGAAGAAGGAAGAACUUGAGAUGAGUUCCUCCCUUCAACAUUCUGUCUCCUCCUACCUAGCAUCUUCUUUCUUUUAGUCUUUCUAGAAUGUCCAUCUGUUUUUGGCCAUUGCGGAGAGAGAAGCUGAGCUUUAAAGGAGUAGGAGCUUCAAAGGCGUA